GCAGGGAUAGCUCAGCUGGUAGAGCCAGAGACUCUCAAUCUCAGCAUUGUGGGUUCGAGCCCCGCAUUGGGCA